UGUAGGAGUGGUAGCCUCUCUGAUGUAUUCGUGUACUACGUUUAUGGUAAAGUUCAAGUGAAUAAAUUCAGAAUAUGAUCGGCGAUUUUGCUAUUUUCUAAUAACAGAAUCGUAGAGAACAUGGAACUUACAUUUUGUUGGUUUUCGAAAAUAUCUAAUAUGAAAUUUAUAGAAUUAUUAUUUGCAAAAGUAUUUUCGAUUACAGAUUAAAUACGAUAUGUUAUUGACUAUCUUUCGAUAAUAGUUACAGUACAAAGAAUAAUUUAUCUUAUGCUCGUGUUUUAAGCUUCUAAAGAAAGAUGCCGUUGGCCUAAGUAUUGAAAACUACUGUGAGAUUAAGUAAAGAAAUUAUUUAAAAAGAAAUCUAAUAAAUUUCACCAAAUAUAAGAAAAAAAGAGAUAGAUCUUAUUUAUUAUCAAAAAAUAAUAUAGUGAAGUAAAACUCGUGAAAUUAAUUAUGAUUUCGCAAAGAGAAGAACCUGUAUGGUCUAAUAUAGCAAUUCGUAUGUUCAUAAAUACAAUAUCCCAUCCGAUCGAAUAUGCAAAAGUUCUGAUACAGAUUGGUCAUGAACCUAUUACACCACGCCAAACAGUGACGUUGUUUGGAAAACCAGCAUUAGCUUUACCUAACGUUUUUCAAUAUGUUAGGUAUAUAAAAAAUGUUGAUGGAUUUAGUGGAUGUUAUCGAGGACUUGUACCCAAACUUUGUGCAUAUACUAUCAGUGCAGUAGCCUUUGAGAAAACUUCUGAAUGCAUUUCAUUUAGUGGUGAACCUGACAAAAAUAUUGAUGACGAAGAAUUAUCAGAACCUGAAAGACGUACUAGAUGUAUACACGAACUUAUACGGGAUUUACUUAGUAGAAUGAUGGGAAUCAUAGUAAGCCAUCCAUUAGAUGUAAUAAUGUUAAGAAUGAUGGCCCAAUUUGUAGGUGGUGAAACGAAAUAUAAUGGAUUGAUUAGAUCGUUUAUAGAAGUGUACAAGGAGAAUGGGAUUGCAGGAUAUUAUGCAGGAUUAGUACCACGCUUGAUUGCAAAUGCAGCAGUAUUAGUUCUUGUCAGUUCAUCAACUUAUGUCAUCAAUAAAUAUGUUAUUCGUGAUCAAGAAUUAAAGACUUAUACAGCUUCCACUAUGAAAUUUCUUGCAACGACCGUUACAUAUCCAUUUUUGGUAGUAUCUCAUUGCAUGGCAGUAAAUAACUGCGGGUUGGUUGCUGGUCUUCCUCCAAAUAUGCCAAUUUAUAAUAGUUGGUUGGAUUGCUGGUCUCAUUUAUCAAGUAUCAAUCAAUUGAAGAGAGGCAGCAGUCUUUUAUGGCGCUACUAUACAGGUCCACAAGUAAUUAUGAAUGGAAAAGCAAUACCUAUUAAUGCAGAUGACUUUUAUCUGGAAAGUAAAAUCCAAUAAAAAUUUGGUUGAUACUUUGAAAAAUAUUCAGAAGACCAAUAAAAAUCAGUCCUAAAUCACAUAUGUGUUACAUUAUGGUGUUCAUCUGUAAUUUAUAAGAUCUAAUUCAAACUCUGGACUAUCUAAAGAAAGUGGCUUGAGGUGUUCAACUAUAGGAGUUUGAUCGGGAUCAACACGUAUGCGGAUUCUAUUCGUUUCUAAAGAUCGAGGAAGGGUGCGAGGAAGAUCGUCCUUGUACGAAGUUGCGGAAGGUGAAGUAUAUGGUACAUAGAUUCGUACAAUAUCAGGACUUGGAUGAUGGGGCGUUGCCCUUGGUGUAAGCAAACCACCACUACCAGAACUACCAUUAGAAACAUUACUUUGAGUAUCAAGACUAUUGUCUAAUGCUUGAGACCGUGUCGCGGAACUAAAUACAGAAAGAUCAGCUGUGGAGGUAACAGAUGUGUCAGCCAAAGAUCGAUGUGAGCCAUUAGGAGACGCACCAUCGUCAAGACUUGGAUCAAAUGAGAAUUUGCUCCCUGCACAUACAUUCACAAUUUAUUGCUUGUAUUAGUAUUUUGACGAUUCGCCGUCUGUGCAAAGAUUCAAACUUACCACCAAGGCCACCACCACUACUUGGAUCAACUGGCGUUGUACUUUCUCUGCCUUCCUCGACGAGAGCCAUAUCCCUUCGUUGUACUACCGAUUCGCGCAUCAUAUGCUGUGCUUCACUGAACUCUUCGCUACGUCGUCCAACCUGCAUAAGCAUAAUAUUAUAAUCACUUAAUAUGCUCGUUUUUAUAUUAAA